rnacentral:lncRNA from 1 species
GCUGAGGACCCGGAGGCUCGUGGUUUGUUUGGGCUGUUGGGGGUGCGCGCACAGCCCGGGAAAAGCGGGAAAUGGCGGCGCCGAGCGCGGGCUCCCAGUCAGCCCUCCAGCCAAAGGAGCAGAUGGCCGCUGAUAGGGGGCGCAGGAUGUUGAGAGGGUGUGGCAUGCAUCCUGACCAUCAGGAAGCUCUCAAAAAGAACCGAGUGGUGUUGGCCAAAGAGCUGCUGCUGAGCGAACUGUUGGAACACCUCCUAGAGAGGGACAUUAUCACCUUGGAAAUGAGAGAGCACAUUCAGGCCAAGACGGGCAGUUUUGGCCAGAACGUGGAACUCCUCAACUUGCUGCCCAAGAGAGGCCCCCAGGCCUUUGAUGCCUUCUGUGUGGCCCUGAGGGAGACCAAGCAGAGUCACCUGGAGGAGCUGCUGCUCAGAACCCUGUCAGGUCUUCAGCCUGUAGUCCCCCCGUUGAGCUGUGACUAUGACCUGAGUCUCCCUUUCCCGGUGUGUGAGUCCUGUGCCCCCCACAAGCGGCUCCGCCUGUCUCCAGAUGCAGUGGAGCACUCCCUAGACCAUGGAGAUGGUCCUCCCUGCCUUCAGGUGAAGCCCUGCACGCCUGAGUUUUAUCAGACACACCACCAGCUGGCCUACCGGUUGCAGUCUCGGCCCCGCGGCCUGGCACUGGUGCUGAGCAACGUGCACUUCACUGGAGAGAAAGACCUGGAAUUCCGCUCGGGAGGGGAUGUGGACCACAGCACUCUCGUCACCCUCUUCAAGCUCUUGGGCUACAAAGUUCAUGUUCUUCUUGACCAGACCGCACAGGAAAUGCAAGAGAAACUGCAGAGUUUUGCCCAGCUCCCGGCUCACCGAGUCACUGACUCCUGCAUAGUGGCGCUCCUCUCCCACGGCGUGGAGGGCAGCGUCUACGGCGUGGACGGCAAACUGCUCCAGCUACAAGAGGUUUUUCGGCUCUUUGACAAUGCCAACUGCCCAAGCCUACAGAACAAACCGAAAAUGUUCUUCAUCCAGGCCUGCCGUGGAGAUGAAACAGAUCGUGGGGUCGACCAGCAAGAUGGGAAGAACCAUGACCGAUCCCCCGAGUGCGAGGAGAGUGAUGCCAGUGGAGAGGAGCUGCUGAAGACACGGCUGCCCACCCGCUCAGACAUGAUUUGUGGCUACGCCUGCCUCAGAGGUGAACGCACUCAUCAAGGAGCGGGAAGGCUACGCCCCUGGCACGGAGUUCCACCGCUGCAAGGAGAUGUCCGAGUACUGCAGCACCCUGUGCCGCCACCUCUACCUCUUCCCGGGCCACCCCCCCACGUGAUGCCAGCCCCGGCCCCCGCAUCCCACCUCGUCACCGGCCGCUGGGCCUCAGGAGGCGAGGUAGAGCCUCUCUCCCCAGGAUGCGCGGCUUCUGUGCCUCCCCUCAGGGACUGGGACUCCCCUAGGCUCCUUUCUCACACCCACCGUCUCACCGGUGACCUCGGCCCGCCAGCUUCUCCCAUGCGCAGCUCUCCUGUGGAGCUGGCUCUGGCUGGACUCGUUGCCAGGAGCGUGUGGCCUCCGUUGAGGGACCUGGCGAGUGACACUGUGCACGCAUACCCUGACGGGGAGAAGGCGUGUGGGUUUCCUCGGUAUUUGUGUUCAGCUCCUGCCCCAGCGCUCUUGGAGGAAGCACCCUGGUAA